GACGAACGCUGGCGGCGUGCCUAAUACAUGCAAGUCGACCUUAGUGGCGAACGGGUGAGUAACACGUGGGUAACCUGCCCAUCAGAAGGGGAUAACACUUGGAAACAGGUGCUAAUACCGUAUACUGGAGGAGGGACCCGGGGUGCAUGAGCUAGUUGGUGAGGUAACGGCUCACCAAGGCCACGAUGCUGAGCCGCUCGGAUAGGGUGAUCGUCCACAUGUGGACUGAGACACGGCCCAGACUCCUACGGGAGGCAGCAGUAGGGAAUCUUGGGCAAUGGGCGAAAGUCUGACCGAGCCACGCCGCGUGAGUGAAGAAGGUUUUCGGAUCGUAAAACUCUGUUGUUAGAGAAGCGGUAUCUAACCAGAAAGCCACGGCUAACUACGUGCCAGCAGCCGCGGUAAUUC
rnacentral:rRNA from 1 species